UUUUUUCUACUCUUCUCUCUAUACGUUGGUGUUGUAACCAAUAAUCACCAAAGCGAUGUUCUGUCCAAUCGAUGCAGGAACCAACAAACAAAUGCCAAAGUGUUGUACUUUGUGAAUUUUGGUAAACGGAAUCCAAAGUACUAUACUUUGUGAAUUUCGGUAAACGGAAUCCAAAGUACUAUACUUUGUGAAUUUUGGUAAACGGAAUCCAAAGUGUUAUACUUUGUGAAUUUUGUUAAGGUUCGAAUCUCGUGACUACCGUUAGGUUUGAUUUGGGUUUUAUACAAAUACGUAUUCCAUUCUGUUAAACUAUAUGUUUAACUACCAGAAUACUCCCAACCACACACUUACAAUCAAACAAGCUGUUAAGUCAUCAGAAGAUUCAAAUCAAUAAACUAUAUGCUUAAUUAUCAGAAGGAGUAGAAUCAAGAAGCUUGUUAAAUCAAUACUGCAUGCUUAUACUGUAAUUACAGUAGAUUAGAGUAAGAAUUGGAUACGACACUGAAGGGCUUCAAGAAGUGGCUUAUUUUAUCAAUUAAAUCGAAUUAAGAAAUAUUGUUUUAUAUAAUUGGGUUUAUCCCUUAUUAAAGCUACCUUUAUAAAACAUGGAUUUACUCCAUCUAUUUAAUAAAUAAAAUCCGGUGUUUUCUAAACUCUGAUAUUUUUCCUAACUCACGGUCCUGAUGAAAUUUCCGCUGCAAUAUUUUUUAAAAUAAUCACCGAUACCACUGGGCUGUUCGCGGCUCCCGAUUCCGUCCAGUGUGGGUCGGGGGUCGUGACAAUAUAACAGUCAAAUAACUGUUGACUGACUACAGAGGAUAAAAUUGCGACAUAACAUCAACGUUGGGGUAAAAUUGUAAUUAUUUCGUUAGAAGGGGUCAGAGUGCCAAUUGGCCUAAACCCCAGGGGGUAAAAAUGUUGUUUACUCUUUACAAAGUUGUGGCUAAUUAGUUACACUUCUCCCCUUCCAUAGCAAACUUAUAAUUAUUUUACGUAUUCUUAUCAUAUCUUAUAAACUAUAAUGUUUUAAAAAAAUCCAAAGGUACCUUGUUGACCUACUCAUUUUUGUUUACGUUUCGAUAGUUGCCUUGGUCAGUAUUGUUGUACGGAUUAAACUGUACAAGUAGAUGAUGCAUUAGUGUACAAGUGAUUAAUACAAUGUGUCCUAUCAUAUU
rnacentral:lncRNA from 1 species